rnacentral:lncRNA from 1 species
CUGGGAGGCUCUUGACCUCAGUGGGAGAUGAGCUGAUGAUGCAGGAGGAAGAGUGGAGGUUAAAAUAAACCCGAAGGAAAACAUGUGAGGAGCUUGGAGACUCUGGGCCCUGCCUAUGGGGUAAAGGGGUCUGGGAAUCACCCUUCCUGCAAUUCACAGAUUUGCGCUCCCUGGAAGUGUGCUUUGGGGUCCAAGAAGGACCAUGAGGCCCUCCGAAAAUGAGCCCCAGGAAAGGAGGGACAGGUUCUUCCAGGUGCGAAUCAAACCCUUGUUCCCACCUGAAGACCUAAACAAUUAUAUGGAAAUAUUUAAAGGCUACCAGGUAAACACAUAGUAGUUCUCAGAAACUAGAGGCCUUGUGAAAGUGGACUGGAAACGUGGAGGACUCUUCAACAAACCCAAGAGUCUGCAUGUGAUCGGGAGAGGGGACAGUGGCGUGGAAUAACCUGGCUGUGUCGCCUGUGGUCCCAUGGGGGCCAGCAGUCUCCACCAGCAAGCUCUCAGGAAGACAACUGCGGCUGGAGGUGUCUCCCGGAACCCUCAGGAUACAGGCUGGAGGACUAUGACUGCAAAGACAUGAAAGGUCUUAGGCCCACAGGAACAAGAGAAUGGAGGAAGAGGAAAAUGGAGAUGAGACGCUGACCUGAUUCUGGAGAUGGGGAAGGAGA